rnacentral:lncRNA from 1 species
AUGGGGACAUCUCGGGGUACAGAAGGGACAGGAGCACCCCCAGAGCCCGCGGGUGCUGCCCCUGCUCCGGCACCGGCCCCCCAAGAUCCGCCAGCCCCAAAUUCCCAAAUUCCAGCUACCAGCAGCUUUUAUUUCCCACCAAAAGAACCACGGGCGUGCCAGCAGCCCUGGUUCUGCCGGGGGGAGGUCCCUGUGGCCGGAGAAGGGACAGUCCCCGUGUCCCCACAGCCAGGGACAGGACACAGGGCUCUGGGGGACAUCGCUGUGCCCAGAGAAGGGACAGCCACCAUGUCCCCACAGCCAGGGUGGCACAGGAGGUCCCUGUACCUGGAGAAGGGACAGCCACCAUGUCCCCACAGCCAGGGACAGGACACGGGACUCUGGGGGACAUCAAUGUGCCCAGAGAAGGGACAGCCACUGUGUCCCCACAGCCAGGGUGGCACAGGGCCCAGAGAAGGGACAGUCCCCGUGUCCCCACAGCCAGGGUGGCACAGGGCCCAGAGAAGGGACAGUCCCCAUGUCCCCACAGCCAGGGGUGGCACAGGGCCCAGAGAAGGGACAGUCCCCGUGUCCCCACAGCCAGGGACAGGACACCGGGCUCUGGGGGACAUCGCUGUGCCCAGAGAAGGGACAGUCCCCGUGUCCCCACAGCCAGGGUGGCACAGGGCCCAGAGAAGGGACAGUCCCCGUGUCCCCACAGCCCAGAGGUGGCACAGGGCCCAGAGAAGGGACAGUCCCCGUGUCCCCACAGCCCAGAGGUGGCACAGGGCUCUGGGGACAUCGCUGUGCCCAGAGAAGGGACAGCCACCGUGUCCCCACAGCCAGGGUGGCACAGGAGGUCCCUGUACCUGGAGAAGGGACAGCCACCAUGUCCCCACAGCCAGGGUGGCACAGGGCUCUGGGGACAUCCCUGGGCCCGGAGAGGGGACAGUCACCGUGUCCCCAGAGCCAGGGUGGCACAGGGCCCAGGGAAGGGACAGUCACUGUGUCCCCACAGCCCAGGGGUGGCACAGGGCUCUGGGGACAUCCCUGGGCCCAGAGAAGGGACAGUCACUGUGUCCCCACAACCAGGGACAGGACAUGGGGCUCUGGGGGACAUCGCUGUGCCCAGAGAAGGGACAGUCCCCGUGUCCCCACAGCCGGGGUGGCACAGGGCUGUGGGGAAGGUCCCUGUACCUGGAGAAGGGACAGCCACCAUGUCCCCACAGCCAGGGGUGGCACAGGAGGUCCCUGUGCCUGGUCCUGAAGUGGGGCAGCUCCGUGCCACCUCCUGCCAGGGGUGGGGACACGGCCCAGGGAGGAGGACAGCAGUGGGGACAGGCAGGACAGAGGACAGCGGUGGGGACAGGCAGGACAGCCCCUGGAUGUCCCCUGGGGGCAGAGCUGGGGUGCCACCAAGCUGAGGGGGCAGUGGGGCCAGGCAGGGGCAGCUGUGGGGGACACCCGUGCCCACCAGCAGCGCCCCACUGGUGCCAGCGGCUCACGGCUGGCCCUGUCCCUUUGCCCACAGCUGCCACCCCUCAGGGACAGGGGUCCCGUGCCUGGGGCCAGCGGGGACAGCGCUGCUCUGGGGGUGGCACCCAGCAGGGCAGGAGGGGACAGCGGGGCAGCCGAAGUGACCGGGCAGAGCUCUGGGGGCUCCUGAGUGGCCGGGGUGACGCCGUGUCCCCCUCAGGGACAUUGCAGGGGGAGGGGACGGUGCCAGGCCCGGCAGCAGCAGCGGUGCCAGCGGGGCACGGACCUGCCGGGCACCGGGACCGGCCUUAA